GGGCCCGCACAAGCGGUGGAGCAUGUGGUUUAAUUCGAUGAUACGCGAGGAACCUUACCAAGGCUUAAAUGUAGGAGGACAGGCUGUGAAAACAGCCCUUCUUCGGACUUCCUACAAGGUGCUGCAUGGUUGUCGUCAGCUCGUGCCGUGAGGUGUCGGGUUAAGUCCCAUAACGAGCGCAACCCCUAUCUUUAGUUGCCAGCGGUUCGGCCGGGGACUCUAAAGAAACUGCCCGCGCAAGCGGUGAGGAAGGUGGGGAUGACGUCAAAUCAUCACGGCCCUUACGUCUUGGGCUACACACGUGCUACAAUGGUAGUGACAAUGGGCAGCCACCCGCGAGGGGGAGCAAAUCCACAAACACUAUCUCAGUUCGGAUCGGAGUCUGCAACUCGACUCCGUGAAGCUGGAAUC
rnacentral:rRNA from 1 species